UUGGUUUUGACAGCAAGGUAAAUGGGUAUUGUAAGCAUGCCGAGCCAAGUGAUAUGUCUCGUAAAUCCGGGUCACAAAACAAUAAAAGGCGAAAACACUUACGCUCUUGCUGCCUGAUCAAAUCAUAGUAGGUCAGUGCUUUAUCCUGCACAAGGUGUGGGACAAGACGUCUCCCGCAAACCCUGUCCGGCGGUUUGAGAUUCGGAGGCGCUCGUGAGACCGGAAUAGUUGUCGUUUUUCCUCGCGGCGGCAACGAAAUUUUUGAGGAUAAGGUGAAAGUAGGCGGCCGUUUGCCGGCUUUCUCUCGAAAAUUAAUAAAUGGAUAAGCAUGUAGAAAGCAGAUUUGUUUCUUGUUUGGACACGGGUUCGACUCCCGUCAGCUCCACUU
rnacentral:tmRNA from 1 species